rnacentral:tRNA from 1 species
GUGAAUGUAGCUCAGUUGGUAGAGCACCAGGUUGUGGUUCUGGUGGUCGUGGGUUCGAUCCCCACCAUUCACCCCA